rnacentral:rRNA from 1 species
UACAGAGGGUGCAAGCGUUAAUCGGAAUUACUGGGCGUAAAGGGCGCGUAGGUGGUUAAUUAAGUCAGAUGUGAAAUCCCUGGGCUUAACCUAGGAAUUGCAUAUGAAACUGAUUGGCUAGAGUAUGAGAGAGGGAAGUGGAAUUUCCGGUGUAGCGGUGAAAUGCGUAGAUAUCGGAAGGAACACCAGUGGCGAAGGCGACUUCCUGGCUCAUUACUGACACUGAGGCGCGAAAGCGUGGGGAGCGAACAGG